GAUGAAGAACGUAGCGAAAUGCGAUACUUGGUGUGAAUUGCAGAAUCCCGUGAACCAUCGAGUCUUUGAACGCAAGUUGCGCCCGAAGCCAUUAGGCCGAGGGCACGCCUGCCUGGGCGUCACACGUCGUUGCCCCCCCAUCUACUCCUUCGGGAUUGCGGGGGGCGGAUGAUGGCCUCCCGUGCGCCUCGCCGCGCGGUUGGCAUAAAUGCCAAGUCCUCGGCGACGCACGCCACGACAAUCGGUGGUUGCGAAACCUCGGUUGCCCGUCGUGUGCGGUCGUCGCGCAUCGAGGGCUCGAAAAAAUUGCCGGGUUCCGGCUGGGCUUUCAACGCGACCCCAGGUCAGGCGGGGUUACCCGCUGAAUUUAAGCAUAUCAAUAAGCGGAGGA
rnacentral:misc_RNA from 1 species